rnacentral:rRNA from 1 species
CCUACGGGCGGCAGCAGUGGGGAAUAUUGCACAAUGGGGGAAACCCUGAUGCAGCGACGCCGCGUGAGUGAAGAAGUAUUUCGGAAUGUAAAGCUCUAUCAGCAGGGAAGAAAAUGACGGUACCUAAUUAAGAAGCCCCGGCCAACUACGUGCCAGCAGCCGCGGUAAUACGAAGGGGGCAAGCGUUAUCCGGAUUUAAUGGGUGUAAAGGGAGCGUAGAUGGCAGCACAAGUCUGGAGUGAAAUGCCGGGGCUUAACCCCGGAACUGCUUUGGAAACUGUGCAGCUAGAGUGCAGGAGAGGUGAGUGGAAUGCCUAGUGUAGCGGUGAAAUGCGUAGAUAUUAGGAGGAACACCAGUGGCGAAGGCGGCUUACUGGACUGUAACUGACGUUGAGGCUCGAAAGCGUGGGGAGCAAACAGGAUUAGAUACCCUUGUAGUC